rnacentral:rRNA from 1 species
UACGGGGGGGGGCAAGCGUUGUUCGGAAUUACUGGGCGUAAAGGGCUCGUAGGUGGCCAACUAAGUCAGACGUGAAAUCCCUCGGCUUAACCGGGGGAACUGCGUCUGAUACUGGAUGGCUUGAGUUUGGGAGAGGGACGCGGAAUUCCAGGUGUAGCGGUGAAAUGCGUAGAUAUCUGGAGGAACACCGGUGGCGAAGGCGGGUCUCUGGGCCGUAACUGACGCUGAGGAGCGAAAGCAUGGGGGAGCGAACAGG